rnacentral:rRNA from 1 species
GAUCCCGGGGGUUCGCCUCCGGGUGAGAGUGGCGAACGGGUGAGUAAUGCGUGACCGACCUGCCCCAUACACCGGAAUAGCUCCUGGAAACGGGUGGUAAUGCCGGAUGCUCCGGUUGGAUGCAUGUCCUUCCGGGAAAGAUUCCAUCGGUAUGGGAUGGGGUCGCGUCCUAUCAGCUUGAUGGCGGGGUAACGGCCCACCAUGGCUUCGACGGGUAGCCGGCCUGAGAGGGCGACCGGCCACAUUGGGACUGAGAUACGGCCCAGACUCCUACGGGAGGCAGCAGUGGGGAAUAUUGCACAAUGGGCGCAAGCCUGAUGCAGCGACGCCGCGUGCGGGAUGGAGGCCUUCGGGUUGUAAACCGCUUUUGAUCGGGAGCAAGCCCUUCGGGGUGAGUGUACCCUUCGAAUAAGCACCGGCUAACUACGUGCCAGCAGCCGCGGUAAUACGUAGGGUGCAAGCGUUAUCCGGAAUUAUUGGGCGUAAAGGGCUCGUAGGCGGUUCGUCGCGUCCGGUGUGAAAGCCCAUCGCUUAACGGUGGGUCUGCGCCGGGUACGGGCGGGCUGGAGUGCGGUAGGGGAGACUGGAAUUCCCGGUGUAACGGUGGAAUGUGUAGAUAUCGGGAAGAACACCAAUGGCGAAGGCAGGUCUCUGGGCCGUCACUGACGCUGAGGAGCGAAAGCGUGGGGAGCGAACAGGAUUAGAUACCCUGGUAGUCCACGCCGUAAACGGUGGAUGCUGGAUGUGGGGCCCGUUCCACGGGUUCCGUGUCGGAGCUAACGCGUUAAGCAUCCCGCCUGGGGAGUACGGCCGCAAGGCUAAAACUCAAAGAAAUUGACGGGGGCCCGCACAAGCGGCGGA